rnacentral:rRNA from 1 species
ACGAACGCUGGCGGCGUGCUUAACACAUGCAAGUCGAACGGAAAGGCCCUGCUUUUGUGGGGUGCUCGAUUGGCGAACGGGUGAGUAACACGUGAGUAACCUGCCCUUUACUUUGGGAUAACUUCAGGAAACUGGGGCUAAUACCGGAUAGGAGCUCCUGCUGCCUGGUGGGGGUUGGAAAGUUUCGGCGGUUGGGGAUGGACUCGCGGCUUAUCAGCUUGUUGGUGGGGUAGUGGCUUACCAAGGCUUUGACGGGUAGCCGGCCUGAGAGGGUGACCGGCCACAUGGGGACUGAGAUACGGCGCAGACUCCUACGGGAGGCAGCAGUGGGGAAUGUUGCACAAUGGGCGGAAGCCUGAUGCAGCAACGCCGCGUGCGGGAUGACGGCCUUCGGGUUGUAAACCGCUUUCGCCUGUGACGAAGCGUGAGUGACGGUAAUGGGUAAAGAAGCACCGGCUAACUACGUG